CUCAAAUCAGGUAGGACUACCCGCUGAACUUAAGCAUAUCA
rnacentral:rRNA from 2 species